UCUGCGUAAAUUAACCCUAGGGGAUUUGCUGACUUCCGAUUGUUUUUACUUUACCUCAAGAGAUGAGGCACCUACAGUAAAAAGCAGUAAGUCGGUUUCGGACCUUCGCAAGGUAUGUGUUUUUGAUUUUGUAUUAAAAAUAAGUGCCAAGUGCUUGUUAAGAAUUAUGGAUGAUGCACAUCGAUUAAUACCAUACGAAAUUAUAGAUGAUAUUAAUAAUAAAUAAAAGCACACGGUGCUUCUAUCUUCAAAAUUUCUAGAAUCAGAAGUCGCACGUAAAAUUUUGAAAAAUGCAAAAAUUGCCGGCAUAUCUUCCAAUAUGUCCAUUGAUACAUCAAAAGAAAACAAAAGUUCCGAAACGAUUUUGGAAGAAAUGCGAGAGUCUUGGCGAUUUUUUUUGUUUAUGAAGUGAAGUUU